rnacentral:rRNA from 1 species
UACGGGGGGGGCAAGCGUUGUUCGGAAUUACUGGGCGUAAAGGGCUCGUAGGUGGCCAACUAAGUCAGACGUGAAAUCCCUCGGCUUAACCGGGGAACUGCGUCUGAUACUGGAUGGCUUGAGUUUGGGAGAGGGACGCGGAAUUCCAGGUGUAGCGGUGAAAUGCGUAGAUAUCGGAAGGAACGCCGGUGGCGAAAGCGACGUGCUGGACCUCUUCUGACGCUGAGGCGCGAAAGCUAGGGGAGCAAACGGG